UUUAAUUGAAUGCUAAAAGAAUGGAAUAUCAAAGAAUAACUUUCUUAAAAUUAAAAAUUGAAAUUUUUUUAAUUUGUGUAAAAACAAUUAUAUAAAUUAAAGACAAGAAGACCCUAAGAAUUUUUAAAAUUUAAAUUAACACAUUUUUGUUUUAAUUAAAUUUUAACUGGGGCGGUUAAAAAAUAUUAAAAACUUUUUAAUUUUGAAAAUGACCCAUUAUUAAUGAAAAUAUGAUAAAAUACUCUAGGGAUAACAGCGUUAUAUUUUUUGAUAGAUCAUAUUGACAAAAAAGUUUGCGACCUCGAUGUUGGAUUAGGAUACUUUUUUAAUGAAGAUAUUAAAAUAAGAAGUUUGUUCAACUUUUAAAUUCCUACUUGAUC
rnacentral:rRNA from 1 species